ACAGGUCUCAAGUUCUCUUUGGUGGGCAGAAGGCCGUGGUUUGACUGAGCUGGAAGCUGAGAGGACACGGCCCCUGCCUCCCCACUGGAGGCACAAAGGGGAGAUCCCCACUUCUCAUCCCCUCGAGUGGCCCAGGCUCCCUCCAGGCCCCAGGGGAAGAAUCGGGGCUGUGUCUGCGGCCGACCUCACAUCCCGGUCAAACAAUCCCAGCCCACGUUCCUCCCAAGAUCCCUGCCUUCCAAAGCACUUUCACAUCUGCUGUUGGCUUUGCACACAAAUAACCUUCCGGCUGCUGCUGUGCCCCAUCUCACAGAGGCAGAAACGGAGCCAGCCUCGGAGUGAACGUCAGUUACAUUUGCCUGGAAAGUGGAUUCCAGCUCCCUUACUCCUCACUCUUGCGGCAUCUCCCCAGGGUACCCCCAGCCAUUUGACAGAGAAGGAAACUGAGGCCCAGAGCAGGACAGGGAUUUGCCCAGGGUCCCCCAGAGAGGUGGAGAGCAGGAGUUCUUUCAUUUGUGGGGCUCCGUAGAUGACGGGUCACCGCAGACAUUCACACUCACACAAGCACGCACGCACACACACCCGGGGCCCGCACACUCACCACAUGGUAGAUGGCCAGGGCGGUGGUUGCGAUGCGGACAUUGAAGCAGCAGCAGGUCUGGCGGACAGUGGACAAGCGGGGGUCCAUGGUGCUGCCGUCCCCUCCUCUGAGACACUGAAGGGGAAAGA
rnacentral:lncRNA from 10 species